AUACGGAGGAUGCAAGCGUUAUCCGGAUUUAUUGGGUUUAAAGGGUGCGCAGGCGGUACCGGUAAGUCAGGGGUGAAACUUUACAGCUUAACUGUAAACGUGCCUUUGAUACUGUCGGACUAGAGUUUAAGAGACGUAAUUGGAAUGUGAUGUGUAGCGGUGAAAUGCUUAGAUAUAUCACAGAACGCCAAUCAUGAAGACAGAUUACGAACUUAAUACUGACGCUCAUGCACGAAAGCGUGGGGAUC
rnacentral:rRNA from 1 species